GCAGCCUUACCGGUGGAUCACU
rnacentral:rRNA from 5 species